CCACAGUGGCUAUUGCAGUUGUAGUUCUGACUUUUAGGUCAUCAAUGUUCGACACGAUCCUCCUGUAAACAUUGUCCUUUAUAAAUCCCCAAAGAAAAAAGUCCAGCGGCGUUUUAUCAGGUGAUCUGAGUGGCCAAGGAAUUGGACCUACUCGCCCAAUCGAAAAAUGGUCAUUCAAGGAACUACAAACGAUGAUACCCCAAUGAGGUGGUGAAAAGAUAUAUGGCUGAAGCUCUUCUAGUUGUGGAAAUACGAAGUUUUCCAACAUGUCUAAGUAUAGGACUGAUGAGACAGUCUUUUCUGUAAAAAAAGAAAGGCCCAAUGACUCAGUCCUGAAUAAGUCCACACCACACAUUAACCUUUGGGGAAUCCCUUUGUGUCUCAUGGUAUUUAUGGGGGUUUUCAGAUCCCCAUAUACGCACAUUAUAGUAAUUAACAAUGCCAUGAGAGGAUGCUUCGUCAGAGAACAUUAUGCACUUCAGAAAAUCAGCAGCAUCUUCUAUCCUUCCUACCAUAUCUGUUGUAAACCUUAAAAAAGAAGGGGGCGCAUAUGGAAGUUCAUUGACAAGAGUCAUGAAACUUUUUGAGUCUAUCUAACCAUUUAUGUUAUUAAUUUUAAUCUAUCUUUAUUAUUUUAUGAGUUAUUAAACAUCAAAAUGGGUCCGGGACUUUAUAAACACCCUGUAUAUUGUUAGGUACUCUUAUCAUUAAGAUUGCAUUUUAGUAGGUAAAAUUUUGAUCAAAAGCUUUUCAUUUGUUUUUUUUUUCCAAUUCCUUUUAUUACUUAAUACUCUACCUAUAUCUCGUUCGAAUUUGCAAUCGUUAAUAAAAUACUUUUUAUUUAUCCAUCAAGUUCAAAUACACUUUUAGUGGAGGACACUUGAUGUUUAUACAGUUUUCUCAAAUAUUAAAUCUUCUUUUAAAUUCAAUUAAUUAAUUUUUAUUGUAUAUAGGAAAAAAAAUUGCAAUUAUUUAAUAAAAAGUAACUAAAAUAAAAAAUUUCUUUGUUGACCCUAAGUAGGAAUUGACUUUAAAAAAAUCUUUUUUUAUACUACUUGUUUUAUUUUGCACCACUGAAAUGUAUUUUUAUAAUUAAUGUUUAUAUGUCUUUUCCGACUGCGUCUCAUGAGUCUGUUUCUCAAAUAAAUUAAAACAAGGAAUGUUUAUCAGGUCACUUGUAGUUGUUUCUCAUAUGUUAAUUUCUAAAAUGAAUUUUGAAUGUUGUCUCAAUACUGAAUAACUUUUUUUUUUUUCAUUUAUAGGGUGUAAAGAAACUUUGUCCGCAAUGUAAUAUGAUCGUUUUUCCAUCAGAUUUAAGAAAAAUUUAUUUAUGAAUCAUCAGCCACAAUCAUUGUAUAUUUGUAAAUAUUUCAUCUGAAUUGUAUGAUGUCCAAAGAUUAGUAAAUAUUCUGUUUUUAUAUA